CAAAGAAUAUCACGAUUUUAGGGACGGAAAAAAACCUACUGUUUGCACAAAGUAACCGCAAACUUAACUUAACAUGUUAUGUUGAAAGUGGCAUUCCAAAAGAGACGAUCAUUUGGAGGAGCAACACAAAGGAAUUAGCCCGUGGCGGACCUUCUUCACUCACCUACGUGUUUACACCUAUUCGCAAAGAUCACAUGAAGAAAUUUUCGUGUUUGGUACAAGCAGACACCAUUUAUUUGGAGAAAAGUGUUAAGCUGUUCCUGUAUUUUCCGCCAAGUGUACAGAUUUUGCAAGGAAAUUUCGUUAGCGUUGUGGAGGGCACUAGUGUGAAUUUAAAAUGUAAUUACACGUCAAAUCACAAAAUAAAGGAAAUAAUAUGGCAACAUGAUAACAAAUAUAUGACGAAUUCCUCUCAGUUACAUCUUGUGUCCAUGAAGAGAAAUCAAAGUGGAGAGUAUUCCUGCACAGUUGUGAAUUAUGCUGGAAAAGUAGCUGCAAAUGUGACAAUAGAGGUGUUGUAUCCACCUGAUGUUGCAGUUUCCUUUUCUGAAAACAAAGGGAUCAGACAACUUAAAUGUAGCCCAGAUGGUUUUCCAAAUCGUUAUUACUUUGGUAAAUGGGAGCACAUAUCAGAAUUUAGAGAACAUAUCCGAUUUUUACCUUCAAAUAGAAAUGGAAUAAUAUCUAUUCCCAAUACAAAGAACGAAACGGAUAGACAUUUUGACAGAGGAAUAUAUAUUUGUACCGUUUCAAAUAAUAUAUCUGUGAAUGGCAGAACGUUAAUGUCAGCUGAAUAUUUGCUUAAUAGU